GGGUUUAAAGGGUGCGUAGGCGGAAAUUUAAGUCAGUGGUGAAAGCCUGCAGCUUAACUGUAGAAUUGCCAUUGAUACUGGAUUUCUUGAAUCUAAUAGAAGUAGGCGGAAUAUGACAUGUAGCGGUGAAAUGCUUAGAUAUGUCAUAGAACACCGAUAGCGAAGGCAGCUUACUAUGUUAGUAUUGACGCUAAUGCACGAAAGCGUGGGGAGCGAACAGGAUUAGGAUACCCUGGUAGUCCACGCCGUAAACGAUGAUUACUCGCUAUUGGCGAUACACUGUCAGUGGCUAAGCGAAAGUGAUAAGUAAUCCACCUGGGGAGUACGAUCGCAAGGUUGAAACUCAAAGGAAUUGACGGGGGCCCGCACAAGCGGUGGAGCAUGUGGUUUAAUUCGAUGAUACGCGAGGAACCUUACCAGGUCUUAAAUGCAUAACGAACGAUUGGGAAACCAAUCUUUCUUCGGACGGAAUGCAAGGUGCUGCAUGGUU
rnacentral:rRNA from 1 species